rnacentral:rRNA from 1 species
GGGGGGUAUUGCACAAUGGAGGAAACUCUGAUGCAGCGACGCCGCGUGAGGGAAGAAGGUCUUCGGAUUGUAAACCUCUGUCUUCAGGGACGAAACAAAUGACGGUACCUGAGGAGGAAGCCACGGCUAACUACGUGCCAGCAGCCGCGGUAAUACGUAGGUGGCAAGCGUUGUCCGGAAUUACUGGGUGUAAAGGGAGCGCAGGCGGGGAAGCAAGUUGGGAGUGAAAUCUAUGGGCUUAACCCAUAAAUUGCUUUCAAAACUGUUUUUCUUGAGUAGUGCAGAGGUAGGCGGAAUUCCCGGUGUAGCGGUGGAAUGCGUAGAUAUCGGGAGGAACACCAGUGGCGAAGGCGGCCUACUGGGCACCAACUGACGCUGAGGCUCGAAAGUAUGGGUAGCAAAC